UCUUUUUUAUUUUAUUAUUUAUUCAUAUAUAAUUAUACUGCAUAUUUCACAUUGUGAACAUUAAAACUUUUUUUAACACUGAUUAAGUCCUACGUGGUAAAGUUAGACUAGAUAAAUAUCAAAGCAUGGAUAAAAGAUGUAGCUAAAGGUAUAUUAUAUCAUGCAGCAAAAUAAGGAAGAGGGAUAUCAUACAUCAGACAGGAUAUUUCUUUUUUUUUAAUUUUAUUCCCCAUUCGUAUUUGCUGAAUUGUUGAAUAAGUCAGUGAAGUUGUCUUGCUUUUAGUCCGGUAUAGUUAAUUUAUAAAAGAAAUGAACACAAUCAACAGAAUAAAGAGACUCUUUCAGGCUGAAUGAAAAUAAUGUAGGUAUUACUCACAAGGCUUAAUGAUAAUAAUGUAGGCAUUACUCACAAGACUUAAUGAUAAUAAUGUAGGCAUUACUCUCAAGGCUUUAUGAGAAUAAUGUAGGUAUUACUCACAAAGCUUAAUGAUAAUAAUGUAGGUAUUAUUCACACGGCUUAAUGAUAAUAAUGUAGGUAUUACUCACAAGACUUAAUGAGAAUAAUGUAGGUAUUACUCACAAUGCUUUAUGAGAAUCAUGUAGGUAUUACUCACAAUGCUUAAUGAGAAUCAUGUACGUAUUACUCACAAAGGUUGAUGAUAAUCAUGUAGGUAUUACUUUUACUUCUACAGGUGACGCUAUGUUAGAUACAGGUAAUUCAUACAGAGAUCUGUCUGGGAUGUCCUUCUCCACCCCGGACAGAGAUAACGACAGAUCUAGAGGUAACUGUGCUGCUGUCUACGGAGGAGGCUGGUGGUUUAACGCCUGUCACCGAGCCUUCCUUAACGGUCCCUGGUCCCCGGAGUCCUGGUACAGACCAUGGUAUCCCACAGUAAGGAGUGGGACAUCAGUGAGAGGAACCAUGAUGAUGAUCAAACGUCACUAGUUACAGAUAAUUCGGGAGGAAAGAAAUUGAUAGAGGAUGCAAUAGAAUUCCCUCCUUAAAGUUUAAACAACGAAUACUUGAAUAGUCAUCAAUUAUUACUUGUGAAUAAAAAGACUUACUUCUAUAAAAUAUACCUUUUAUAUU